UCGGUACGUCCCCGUGUCCUCGCCUCGCGAGCACGCAGAAGCGGAGCUGCCGCACGGGAACACUGCAGCACGACACGGCGCGUGCACCGCAACGUACAUCGAACAUUGACGGAAGAAGAAAAAGGAGAGAAGGUGUGAAGAGACAGAGCAACAGACAGAGCAACAGACAGAGGAACAGACACUGUGACGUCCUCUGGUUUUCUUGUUGCCCUGCUCUCCAUGGGGGUUAGAUGUCGCCGUGCAGCAUCGGGGAGCUGAGCUCAAGGGCACUUCAGCAGACAGGAAGUGAAGACUGAAACUUGUUUCCUCAAGUGCAGGUGUGGGCCCUUUCUCUCUCUCUCUCUCUCUCUCUCUCUCUCUCUCUCUCUCUCUCUCUCUCUCUCUGUCCCCCUCUCUCUCUGGGUGAUGCCGGGCCGUGGGUGGGGUGAAUGCCCGUGACCAGUCUGAAGCUGGGGAAGCUAAAGGUGGUGCGGCGGCAGCUGCUGCAAAGGUAUGAACACCAGCCGUUUGUCUCCUGUCUCGCCGGCCUCUACGGCUGCCAAUGGAGACGAUACCAAAGAGUCUGGGCGCAACCAGGAGAGUGCUGCUGCAGCAAGGUGGAGUGUGGCAGUUUUGGCCUCCUGAUCCUCACCUUCUUCCUGAGUUUUGUGUUCCUCUAUUUCUGGAGUGAAGCUCAGAACGACUACAACGACUUUGACUGGUUUAACUUUGGGACUCUGGGCUUCUGGUUCCCCUGGUCACUGGUCCUACUGGUUGUUGCUGCUGCUCUCUUCACAUACAUCGCUCUACUGCUGGUGUUGGCGGUGUGUCUGCUCACUGAGGGUCAGAGACUUUACCUCCACUGGAGCCACAAGACGGGCAUCGUGGUGACGUUGGUGUUCACCGUCACAGCCACCGCCAUCCUGUCUGACCUCUGGAGCAAAGAAUGGAAGACUCUGCUCCUCUCCCUGCAGGUGACGGCACCUUUCCUCCACGUGGCUGCCGUCUCACUAAUGGCGAUUCUCUCGUGGCCGAUAGCGUUACACUUCUUCCGCAUGAACAGGAAAGGGCGUCAGGUGGCCGUCCUGGGUCUGUACCUGUCUGUGCUGUUCUGUCUGUACCUGGUUCCUCUGGGAAUGUACUCGCCCUGCAUUAAAGAGGCAGGAACACUGGGACCAGCUCCAAAACUCAUCGGACACAGAGGAGCUCCGAUGCUCGCUCCAGAAAAUACUGUGAUGUCGUUUGAGAAGGCAGUGGAAGCUGGAGGAGAAGGACUGGAGACCGACGUCACCAUCAGUUAUGACGGUGUCCCCUUCCUCAUGCACGACUCCACCCUGAGGAGAACCACUGACGUAGCCGAGGUUUUCCCAAAUCGAACGCACCUCGAUGCCUCCAUGUUCACCUGGGCCGAGCUGCAGCAGCUGAACGCCGGCCGCUGGUUCUUAUCGCAGAGGGAUCCAUUUGGUACGGCGUGGUCCCUGUCGGAGGUGGACCGCUCGCAGGCCCAGAACCAGUCUGUUCCCUCACUGGCCCAGUUCCUGGAGGUAGCAGCUCGUAGUGGCAGGCUUGUAAUGUUUGACCUGCGUAGGCCACCGUACGGUCAUCCCUGCAGGGAUUCAUACAUCAACAUCACGCUGCAGGUGGUGCAGGCCCACAUCAACUCCUCACAGGUGCUGUGGCUGCCUUCUGAGGACAGGGAGAUGGUUCACACUCUGGAUCCACAGCUGCAGCAAACAUCUGGAGAAAAAGCUUCGAUCCAGGAACUGACUGACGGACACAUCAGCAGACUGAACCUGCACUACAGCACCAUGUCUCAACAACAGAUCAGUAAAUACCAGUCGGUAAACAUCAGCACCAACCUGUACGUGAUCAGUCAGCCGUGGCUCUACACGCUGGCCUGGUGCGCCGGAGCUCAGUCCGUCACCACCAACUCCAUGAGCGUCCUGUCCACCAUCAACACGCCGCUCUUCCUCAUGACUCCUGAAGAAUACAGUCUGAUGUGGAUUCUGACUGACGCCGUGUCUGCCUUCCUCAUCAUCGCCAUCUUCAUAUUCCACUGGUGGAGAGAGAGGGGCCUGACCUUCUGGUCUGGCAGUCGUCAGACUCAAGAGAACGGACCGUACAGCAAGUUCAGGACUGACUCUUCUGAGGUCAUCUGUGUUCGCUGGAGCCCCCUCCACUCGGAGCCUCCAGCCGGGGCCCUCGUCUCCCUCCCCCUGGUCUUCAACCCCUGACCCCCUGCAUGUCAGCCCUGCAUGUCAGCCCCUCAGGAGCCCAGUAUGAACCCAAGCUGAGUGACGUGUGGUCGAUCUCCAGCGUCAACAUCAGGCCUGAUACCCAGAGCACGCCCAGCUCGCCCAUCACACCUCACCUGCCCACCAUCACAGAGGAGUGACGGAGGGAGAGAGAGAAAGAGGGAGAGAGAGAGAGAGAGAGAGAGAGAGAGAGAGAGAGAGGGAGGGAGGGAAAGAGGAAAGAAGGAAAGAUGAGGGAGUGAGUGUUAAAACUUGGUUUCAUCUCUUAAGCAUUUAUUGAUCAAAUUAAAUAUCAAUGAAACUGAAGCACAAAGCAUGUGGUUCAGUUUCAUUUAUAUCUUUAAUAAAUUGCAAACAGUGGUGGAGGAAGUAAUCUUUACUUCAGUUAAAGUACAAAUAAGUAGACAGAAAUGUACAAGUACCAUGUUAUCUUUAUUACCUGCACAAAGUGCUUUAAAUUCAACUAAUAAGAAAAACAUUGACAAAAUCAAGUAGGGAAAUAAAAAUUUAAAUAAAUAUACUUUGUUACUUUCCACCUCCGUCAGAGUAGGAGCUCCUCUGAUCGAGGCCUUUAAAUACAAGAGAAAGAAAAAUGGUGAUGUUCACAAAUCAAAAUGAACAAGUAGAGUCAGACAUGAGCUGAGCUGAACUGAACCGGACUGAACUGAACUGAACUGAACUGAACUGAACUGAACUGAACUGAACUGAACUGAGCUGAACUGAGCUGAUCUGAACUGAACUGAACUGAACUGAACUGAACUGAUCUGAACUGAACUGAACUGAACUGAUCUGAACUGAUCUGAACUGAACUGAACUGAACUGAACUGAACUGAACUGAACUGAACUGAUCUGAACUGAGCUGAACUGAACUGAUCUGAACUGAACUGAACUGAUCUGAUCUGAACUGAACUGAGUCUGAGCUGAGCUGAACUGAACUGAACUGAGCUGAAUUGAGCUGAUCUAAACUGAGCUGAACUGAACUGAACUGAACUGAACUGAACUGAACUGAACUGAGCUGAACUGAGCUGAUCUGAACUGAGUCCGAGCUGAACUGAACUGAUCUGAACUGAUCUGAACUGAGUCUGGGCUGAGCUGAACUGAACUGAACUGAGCUGAACUGAGCUGAUCUGAACUGAACUGAACUGAACUGAACUGAACUGAACUGAUCUGAACUGAACUGAACUGAACUGAUCUGAACUGAUCUGAACUGAACUGAACUGAACUGAGCUGAACUGAGCUGAACUGAGCUGAUCUGAACUGAG